AGCCAAGUGGCAGGGACAACACAAGGCAUCUUUACCAGCCAACCGCAGCUUCUGCAAACACGUAAUCAUGACCAAUCAGGCGUUAAAUUAGUGUUGAAGUUUAGAUUUUAAUCAAACAUAUUUUGGCCCUAUCGCAUGGUGAAGCGGUUUGUCACCGU